UGCCAAGAAGAAGAAAAAGAGUAAGAGUAGAAAUGAAGAUGGAGAGGAUGUGCAGCCUGCUAGUGAUAUCAAAAAGAAAAAGAAGAAGAAAUCAAAAAGUGAGGAUGAUGAAUGAACGAAUGAAUUUUGAAAGAUGUAUCCCAGUUGCUGAACUAACGUUGUCAGCAGAAUUUUGAUUGUGGAAGUGGCCUUCUGUUCUCUGUUAUUACUAUGAAUCAUGAAAAGAUUAGGUGUCUUGAGAACUUCUGUGAAAUAUUCAACGGUUGUACUAGUUUAUUUUUUUGCUUUGAUUAUUGGAAGUAUCAUCACAAUGUUUAUAUCCGUUAUUGGCAAAUUUUGAUUAUUGUAGCAGGAUGAGAUUAUCCAUGGGCAGUAACCAGUAGCUGGCCUGUGGUUUAGUUAUUUUUCUAUGGC
rnacentral:misc_RNA from 1 species